AAUACUCCUGACUGACCGAUAGUGAACCAGUACCGUGAGGGAAAGGCGAAAAGAACCCCGGCGAGGGGAGUGAAAAAGAACCUGAAACCGUGUACGUACAAGCAGUGGGAGCACCUUCGGGUGUGACUGCGUACCUUUUGUAUAAUGGGUCAGCGACUUAUAUUCUGUAGCAAGGUUAACCGUAUAGGGGAGCCGCAGGGAAACCGAGUCUUAACUGGGCGUUAAGUUGCAGGGUAUAGACCCGAAACCCGGUGAUCUAGCCAUGGGCAGGUUGAAGGUUGGGUAACACUAACUGGAGGACCGAACCGACUAAUGUUGAAAAAUUAGCGGAUGACUUGUGGCUGGGGGUGAAAGGCCAAUCAAACCGGGAGAUAGCUGGUUCUCCCCGAAAGCUAUUUAGGUAGCGCCUCGUGAACUCAUCUUCGGGGGUAGAGCACUGUUUCGGCUAGGGGGUCAUCCCGACUUACCAACCCGAUGCAAACUACGAAUACCGAAGAAUGUUAUCACGGGAGACACACGGCGGGUGCUAACGUCCGUCGUGAAGAGGGAAACAACCCAGACCGCCAGCUAAGGUCCCAAAGUCAUGGUUAAGUGGGAAACGAUGUGGGAAGGCACAGACAGCCAGGAUGUUGGCUUAGAAGCAGCCAUCAUUUAAAGAAAGCGUAAUAGCUCACUGGUCGAGUCGGCCUGCGCGGAAGAUGUAACGGGGCUAAACCAUGCACCGAAGCUGCGGCAGCGACACUAUGUGUUGUUGGGUAGGGGAGCG
rnacentral:rRNA from 1 species